rnacentral:rRNA from 1 species
CCUACGGGAGACAGCAGUGAGGAAUAUUGGUCAAUGGACGAGAGUCUGAACCAGCCAAGUAGCGUGAAGGAUGACUGCCCUAUGGGUUGUAAACUUCUUUUAUAAAGGAAUAAAACGAGGCACGUGUGCCUUUUUGCAUGUACUUUAUGAAUAAGGAUCGGCUAACUCCGUGCCAGCAGCCGCGGUAAUACGGAGGAUCCGAGCGUUAUCCGGAUUUAUUGGGUUUAAAGGGAGCGUAGAUGGGUUGUUAAGUCAGUUGUGAAAGUUUGCGGCUCAACCGUAAAAUUGCAAUUGAUACUGGCAGUCUAGAGUACAGUUGAGGUAGGCGGAAUUCGUGGUGUAGCGGUGAAAUGCUUAGAUAUCACGAAGAACCCCGAUUGCGAAGGCAGCUUACUAAACUGUGACUGACAUUGAUGCUCGAAAGUGUGGGUAUCAAACAGGAUUAGAUACCCGAGUAGUC